rnacentral:rRNA from 1 species
AUUGAACGCUGGCGGCAGGCCUAACACAUGCAAGUCGAGCGAGCGGCGGACGGGUGAGUAAUGUAUGGGGAUCUGCCCGAUAGAGGGGGAUAACUACUGGAAACGGUGGCUAAUACCGCAUACUAGUAGAUGGUCCUGCGUUGUAUUAGCUAGUUGGUGGGGUAAAGGCCUACCAAGGCGACGAUCAGUAGCGGGUCUGAGAGGACGAUCCGCCACACUGGGACUGAGACACGGCCCAGACUCCUACGGGAGGCAGCAGUGGGGAAUUUUGGACAAUGGGGGCAACCCUGAUCCAGCCAUGCCGCGUGUAUGAAGAAGGCCUGCGGGUUGUAAAGUACUUUUGUUAGGGAAGCGGUACCUAAAGAAUAAGCACCGGCUAACUACGUGCCAGCAGCCGCGGUAAUAC